rnacentral:rRNA from 1 species
UACGAAGGGGGCUAGCGUUGCUCGGAAUUACUGGGCGUAAAGCGCACGUAGGCGGUCUUUUAAGUCGGGGGUGAAAUCCUGGAGCUCAACUCCAGAACUGCCUUCGAUACUGGAAGACUUGAGUCCGGGAGAGGUCGAGUGGAACUGCGAGUGUAGAGGUGAAAUUCGUAGAUAUUCGCAAGAACACCAGUGGCGAAGGCGGCUCACUGGCCCGGUACUGACGCUGAGGUGCGGAAAGCGUGGGGAGCAACAGGGAUUAAGAAACC